rnacentral:tRNA from 1 species
GGGCGGUUAGCUCAGCGGUAGAGCAUACCCUUCACACGGGUGGGGCCACAGGUUCGAUCCCUGUACCGCCCACCA